GGCCCGCGCCUUGCUGUGCACAAGGCGAUGGUAGUCAACGGCGAUUACCCGACUUCGACAAAGGCGUCGC
ncrna:Pseudomonas nitroreducens TX1 narK RNA